rnacentral:rRNA from 1 species
GACGAACGCUGGCGGCGUGCUUAACACAUGCAAGUCGAACGGAAAGGCCCUGCUUUUGUGGUGUGCUCGAGUGGCGAACGGGUGAGUAACACGUGAGUAACCUGCCCUUGACUUUGGGAUAACUUCAGGAAACUGGGGCUAAUACCGGAUAGGAGCUCCUGCUGCAUGGUGGGGGUUGGAAAGUUUGGGCGGUUGGGGAUGGACUCGCGGCUUAUCAGCUUGUUGGUGGGGUAGUGGCUUACCAAGGCUUUGACGGGUAGCCGGCAUGAGAGGGUGACCGGCGACAUUGGGACUGAGAUACGGCCCAGACUCCUACGGGAGGCAGCAGUGGAGAAUAUUGCACAAUGGGCGGAAGCCUGAUGCAGCAACGCCGCGUGCGGGAUGACGGCCUUCGGGGUGUAAACCGCUUUCGCCUGUGACGAAGCGUGAGUGACGGUAAUGGGUAAAGAAGCACCGGCUAACUACGUG